UUUGCUGCAGCCAGGCAGAGACUUUGCUGUUGGCGGCAGUGUUAGCUGAGGGCAGCACCCCGGAUGCUCCGGCUGAAUCCAGCGCCCCUGCGGAGCCCUGGUGCCGUGGACACAGACACAGGAGUUAAUCUAAGACCCGCUUUCACUACACACCUGUAAACGGUUGCCGCGCGCAGCUUUUGGCUUCACGGUUUAUCUGACAGUCACCAAGUCUCCGUUCCUCUGGGCUUGUCCGGCCGCGGUGCUGUGGGACAGAGUCCGGUGGAAGCCGCUGUGGGCGUGAGCUGCCUCGUUCUUCUUGAAGAAGCGGUGGGCCUGUAGCUUGGUCACCCAGAUGUAGAAGAGGUCGGGGCUCUUUGCCUUGGUGAGAAAAGAGAAGGCGUGUGGUACCUUUGUCUUUGCCAUCUGAAGGACACGCCAUUUUUAUUUGAUACUUACCUUCAUAUGGUAGAGGAUGUCCCCUGCAUCCAAGUCAAUGCGGUUUGAUUUCUUAUUAAUCGACAUCACAGCAAGGCUGACAUCCAGGGAGCCCUGGACCCGUCCCCUGGAGACCUUUCAGAGGAAAAGGCGCAAGACCCCGGCCUCCAGGACAAAGUACCGCUGAGAGAGAGAGAGAAAUCAAACAUCAUCGUUUCAAAAGCUGUCAGCAUCUCCAGGGCGAACCACAUGGCAGACCGGAAGGGACUUCUCACCUUGUGCCAACCUUUCAGUGGCCACUUCCUCCUCUUGAGAAGAUACCCCUCACAGAUACCGGGGGCAGUCAUGUCCUGAGGAUUGUCGCCUCCGGGUUGCAUUUCUACAUGAAGGUCGUCGAUCACUUCCCAGUCUUUGAUAAUCUGUGGACAGCGUUGAACGAGAAAAAAAAAAAACACACCUGAGGUUACUUGGCCAUGUUACAAGUUUUUGUCAGGUUUGUUUUAUUCUUCUUUUUCGCGACUGUGUUGACCUACACAGAAGCACCGCAGCAAACAUGACUGAUUGUGAAAGCUGUAAAAGGUGAGGCCAGUUUUCUGGUACAUGUCGUGACGACUCAAGAGCAGGGCUGCAACCAGCGAUUAUUUUCUCAAUUAAGUCAUUCACCAUUUAAUCUGUAAAAUGUCAGAAUAGUUGAAGGUGCCCGCUAUAAUUUCCCGAAGCCGAAGAUGGUGUACUCAACUUGUUUUAUUUGACAUUUAACAGUCCAACACCCAAAAAUAUUCAGUUACAAUCAGAUAUGACAGAGAGAGGCAACAAAUCGUCCCGUUUGAGAAGCUUUAACCAGCAAAUAUUCAGACUUUUUGCCUGAAAGGUGAGUCAAAGCAUUAAUUCGUCAGCAAAUAGUUGCCAAUUAAUUUUCUAUCAAUUGACUAUUCAGCUUAUCCUUGCAGCCCCACUCAGUAUUUUCAAACAUCAAUAUUAUGGCAUCCAAAAUUUACCUAACUGGGAUGGUUGUCUAAUUUUUUUUACUUCCUCUCAAAAGCUCAGAAAAGAAGGCAAGAUGGAUUAUUUUAUGAGUCAUUAAUCACAUUUUUUUUUAGAAGCUCACAUCUGCAUAUGCUCUAUCGGUAAUCUGACAAAUGUCUGGAAAUCUGAUUAUGUGAGAUUUGAUGUAUUUAGUUGUUUUUGACCUCUUCUAAAAGUUGUUUGAAUAUGCAUACGAUCUGCAACAAUUACUCGAUCAAUGCAUCGACAGAAAAUCAGUCAGCGUCUAUUUUGUUAGUCGAUUGAUCAUCUUGAGUUGUUUUGUAAGAAAAGAAAGUGCCAAAAUUCUCUGGUUGCGGCUUCACAGGUGUGAAUAUUUUUUUCUUCUUUCCUUUGUCUUUUUCUGACAGUGAACUGAAUAUCUGUGGUUUUCUGAUAUUUUAUCGACUAAACGAUUAAUCAAGAAAACAACUGGGAGACCAAUCAAUAAUAAAAAAUAACCGUUGGUUGCAGCCUCAACUGUCUAAAUUCUGUAUUCGGGGUCUGGUUUAAAUGAGUCUGUGGCGUCUUGUGAGGGCCCCACAGGUUUGGCAUGGCUGUAUUCCUGACUGACCGGGCGGUGCUGGUUUACUGUGGCACCUUUACUGCCUUUCACACGAAAAACCAGAGCAUCUGGUUCCCUGAUCUCGGCGGUUUUCGCGCCAACCGACCACUGUAAUUCAUAACGAAAACAGAACACCUCAAACUACGAUGACAUACCUGUAAUCACCUUGUCCGGAAGGACUUCGUGAUCGGCCGACUGACCUGCGACUCACCUGCCUGGAGUGGCGAGACGACAGAGUGCUACUGCUCCGGGAGUGGGACGGUUUGUUCCACCCGAGAGACGUCUUCUCCAGGCCGCUCGCCAGCGACUGGCUGCGGUCGAGCGAAGAGCCGUACGAUUCCAUCUCAGAGGGCCGACCUCAGACUCGGGUCCCCCGUUGUGACGGCCUGGUUGUCGAGAGAGAUCCGCUGCAAUCCACCGAAAGACCCCUGAGGAGCGUGUUUGAUUUGGGAGUUUGCAACCAACUUAAGUCCCUUCCCUCGGGCAGGGAAGCUCCUGCGGGCUCCGGGUUUGAUCGUCCUGCGCGAAGACGCGGGCGCCGACGAACGGCCAGACUCCGGAUCUGUGACGGCGCCGGUCCGCAGAAUCCCCCCCCCCCGACGAUCUAGACUUUGGAGCAACGGGAACGCGGGCCAUGUGACGGGACGUCGAAUGGCAGCCGGGCUCGCUGUUACGCAAGGGCCGGGAGGGGAUGAGCGUACCUGACCUCUGCGAGGACUGUGGUGUUGAGGAGAGCCCCCCCCCCAGCAGCGUCCGUCUCCCUGGGAGAAGCAGGCCAUAACAGACUAACUGACCCAGAUUAACCUGCUGUAAUCUGCAGAUUAACCUAUCAGGAUCUGUGACCACUUGUGUUUAUUUUGGCUGGAGCGGUUCCCGUGAUGCCACUUAGCCUCACAUUAAUGUCGCCGCUCUGGCUGGUAUGGUGUGUGUCAAGUGCACAGAUCAAAAGGUGAAGACUUUGCAUUUAACUUAACAACUUCAGAAUCUAUCUUUUUAGAUCUUAAGAGUCUUGAAAUGCUGACACAAUGGCCCUGAUUAGGAGUGUUUUUGGAGCAACCCUGUAAAUUGCUGCCGUGAGACUGACAGAACAGUCACAAAAUGUCUUGAAUGCAAAAAAUUACGAGUCUGAGCAAUAGAUUGAUGA